rnacentral:rRNA from 1 species
AUUGAACGCUGGCGGCAGGCCUAACACAUGCAAGUCGAGCGGAUGAAGGGAGCUUGCUCCCGGAUUCAGCGGCGGACGGGUGAGUAAUGCCUAGGAAUCUGCCCGGUAGUGGGGGAUAACGUCCGGAAACGGGCGCUAAUACCGCAUACGUCCUGAGGGAGAAAGUGGGGGAUCUUCGGACCUCACGCUAUCAGAUGAGCCUAGGUCGGAUUAGCUAGUUGGUGGGGUAAAGGCCUACCAAGGCGACGAUCCGUAACUGGUCUGAGAGGAUGAUCAGUCACACUGGAACUGAGACACGGUCCAGACUCCUACGGGAGGCAGCAGUGGGGAAUAUUGGACAAUGGGCGAAAGCCUGAUCCAGCCAUGCCGCGUGUGUGAAGAAGGUCUUCGGAUUGUAAAGCACUUUAAGUUGGGAGGAAGGGCAGUAAGUUAAUACCUUGCUGUUUUGACGUUACCAACAGAAUAAGCACCGGCUAACUUCGUG